UACACGCUCCUUAGAUCCACCUCUAGAGGGUGCUGUGCUCUUGAGCUGAGCCCCUCCGCAGCUUUCUGGCUGUGUCGUUGGAGGUGCUUGAGUCAUUGGCGUGUAAGAGCAGUCUACCUGUUCACCGGCUUACCUGCACCACUGGCCACCCGGUCCUCUGCAGACCGGGAUCACCCAGUGUUGCUAGCCAGGUGGACGGACAAU